rnacentral:rRNA from 1 species
UGGGGAAUAUUGGACAAUGGGCGAAAGCCUGAUCCAGCCACGCCGCGUGAGUGAUGAAGGCCUUCGGGUUGUAAAGCUCUGUCGUGAGGGAAGAAGAUCUGACGGUACCUCACAAGAAAGCACCGGCUAACUCCGUGCCAGCAGCCGCGGUAAUACGGAGGGUGCAAGCGUUGCUCGGAAUUACUGGGCGUAAAGCGCACGCAGGCGGUUUAUCAGGUCGGAUGUGAAAGCCCAGGGCUCAACCCUGGAACUGCAUUCGAAACCGGUAGACUUGAGUUCGAGAGAGGGUGGUGGAAUUCCUGGUGUAGAGGUGAAAUUCGUUGAUAUCAGGAGGAACACCGGUGGCGAAGGCGACCACCUGGCUCGAUACUGACGCUCAUGUGCGAAAGCGUGGGGAGCAAACAGG